GCCAGACUCCUACGGGAGGCAGCAGUGAGGAAUAUUGGUCAAUGGGCGCAGGCCUGAACCAGCCAAGUCGCGUGAGGGAAGACUGCCCUAUGGGUUGUAAACCUCUUUUAUAAGGGAAGAAUAAUGACUACGUGUAGUCAGAUGCCCGUACCUUAUGAAUAAGCAUCGGCUAACUCCGUGCCAGCAGCCGCGGUAAUACGGAGGAUGCGAGCGUUAUCCGGAUUUAUUGGGUUUAAAGGGUGCGUAGGUGGUUAAUUAAGUCAGCGGUGAAAGUUUGUGGCUCAACCAUAAAAUUGCCGUUGAAACUGGUUGACUUGAGUAUAUUUGAGGUAGGCGGAAUGCGUGGUGUAGCGGUGAAAUGCAUAGAUAUCACGCAGAACUCCGAUUGCGAAGGCAGCUUACUAAACUAUAACUGACACUGAAGCACGAAAGCGUGGGGAUCAAACAGGAUUAGAUACCCCCGUAA
rnacentral:rRNA from 1 species